UAUGCCUCAAUUGAUAAAGUGAACUAAUUGCCUACUUCAAAAGCAGUUUUGCAUGAAAGUCAACAUCUAAUUGGAAUUUACAAUGCCCGAUAUUUCUACACAUCUGCCACAAAUUUUAUGGAAAACAAUAUUUAUGGAAACUGAACAUACCUUGGUUAAACGUAUAUGAAAUGGGUUAUCAUCCUCGAAGAACAUCAACCAGCUGUCGGCAAUGUGCAGGUGGACUGAGGAAUUUUCCGGUGUGUCUUUUUAUGGACUGUACUCCGUCUCAGCACAAUUCCCAA
rnacentral:lncRNA from 1 species